rnacentral:rRNA from 1 species
GGUAACAGGAGAAAGCUUGCUUUCUUGCUGACGAGUGGCGGACGGGUGAGUUAUGCUUGGGAAUCUGGCUUAUGGAGGGGGAUAACGACGGGAAACUGUCGCUAAUACCGCGUAGUGUCGAGAGACGAAAGUGCGGGACUGAGAGGCCGCAUGCCAUAGGAUGAGCCCAAGUGGGAUUAGGUAGUUGGUGGGGUAAAGGCCUACCAAGCCUGCGAUCUCUAGCUGGUCUGAGAGGAUGACCAGCCACACUGGAACUGAGACACGGUCCAGACUCCUACGGGAGGCAGCAGUUGGGAAUAUUGCGCAAUGGGGGGAACCCUGACGCAGCCAUGCCGCGUGAAUGAAGAAGGCCUUCGGGUUGUAAAGUUCUUUCGGUAUUGAGGAAGGUUGAUGUGUUAAUAGCACAUCAAAUUGACGUUAAAUACAGAAGAAGCACCGGCUAACUCCGUGCCAGCAGCCGCGGUAAUACGGAGGGUGCGAGCGUUAAUCGGAAUAACUGGGCGUAAAGGGCACGCAGGCGGUUAUUUAAGUGAGGUGUGAAAGCCCCGGGCUUAACCUGGGAAUUGCAUUUCAGACUGGGUAACUAGAGUACUUUAGGGAGGGGUAGAAUUCCACGUGUAGCGGUGAAAUGCGUAGAGAUGUGGAGGAAUACCGAAGGCGAAGGCAGCCCCUUGGGAAUGUACUGACGCUCAUGUGCGAAAGCGUGGGGAGCAAACAGGAUUAGAUACCCUGGUAGUCCACGCUGUAAACGCUGUCGAUUUGGGGGUUGGGGUUUAACUCUGGCGCCCGUAGCUAAC